rnacentral:rRNA from 1 species
UACAGAGGGUGCAAGCGUUAAUCGGAGUUACUGGGCGUAAAGGGCGCGUAGGUGGUUGUUUUAAGUGAGAUGUGAAAUCCCUGGGCUUAACCUAGGAACUGCAUCUUAUACUGGACAACUGGAGUACUGUAGAGGGUAGUGGAAUUUCCGGUGUAGCGGUGAAAUGCGUAGAUAUCGGGAGGAACACCAGUGGCGAAGGCGCUUCCUGGCCUGUUCUUGACGUGAGGCGCGAAAAGCUAGGGGGGAGCAAAACGGGGA